ensembl:lncRNA
CUAAAAUAUUGCAUUAUUGGAUUGCUAUCUGAAAGCCAAUUACCAUUAGUCAUUCUUUACGCAGACAAUCAGCUAAAAACAACUCUACGGUGCAGUUCUUUCAGUGCAGCUAUUUCUUGUCAUGCUUCAGCCUCGGAAAAUAUUUGUUUUUUCACAACAUUAACGGUUACAAUAUUGUGGCAGAUGGCAGGGAGAUGAGGGGAGUGGUGAUUGAAGGGAGAUAUCUUUCAGCCCACUGGCUCCACCCCCGAGCCUUAUAUGGACUUCCUGCACCAACGAGGAAAGCCUGUGGAUUAUUAGGCCAUGGAGUGCUUGGGGAUAAAAGAGGAAGCGGGCUGCACAAACAGAGAGAGGACUGAGAGGAGAGUGCGAAAAGAGAGUACAAAAGAUAAAUAAUUAUCUGUGUGAUUACUCGUUUUGACCUGGAAUGUCUGAUUACCCCCACUGUGUACCAAACCGUUUAGGCUGAGGACCCGAGUUUAAGGAUUAUUCCUGGAGAACGGAACGAACACUAAGAACGGAUUGUGGACUGUGAACUGGUUGCUGGAUUCCCCUCUUUCCCCCAGUGUGCAAAUCUCCCUAAUAAAUUCCCCAUUUGUGUUCUAGUUGUGCUUCGUGUGUGUGUUUGGUUAUUGAACUUGGUGACUUGGAAACCCCACCCCCUUGAGCCUGCUACAUGUGGUGGAGAAUGCGGGCACCCCAAACCAGGCUCAAUAACUAAACGGACACAUAGCACAAUGGAAACAUUGGUGAAACAGCUGGUGGAGGCGAACAUAGUGCAGCAGGCUAUGCAUCGGGAACUGCUGGAGGAAAAGUGUCAGCAGACCGCUCUCCUGCGAGCUGAACUCAGCCAGCUGACAGCCACCCAGGCACAGCAGUCACUCGUCCCAAAUCCAGUAGGUUUAUACUAAAGUUGACAGAGGCUGACAACAUUGAGGCUUACUUGAAAGACUUUGAGAGGACGGUGGCUGGGGAGAAAUGGCCCCAUGAGCAAUGGGCCAGCCUGCUAGCACCCUUUCUGUCAGAUGCGACACAGAAGACCUAUGAGGAUCUGACAGCUGACCAGGCGCCGCAUUACGAGUGGCUGAAAAAGGAAAUCCUGCGCCAGAAUGGUUACACCCUGAUUAACAAGGCACAAAGAUUCCAUGAUUGAGCGUAUGAUGCUAUAGCAUCCCCCCGAUCGCAAAUGCAUGAUCUAAUUAGGCUGGCCAAGAGCUGGCUAACUGCUGAACCACUGAUGCUCACACCCAUUGAGAAAGUGGUCAUUGAUACAUUUCUACACUCUCUCCCAUUCGAAGCUGUUGUGUUCAAAAUUUUGAACAUUGAGAUAUUAAAUAAAUGAUGGAUAGAAUCAAAGGAGAAAGUUAGGGGUUCUCUGUAGAAGGACAGAUAGCUGUGGAAUGUGUUGGAAUGUGUUGGGGGACGGGAGCAGAGCACCGUGUUGAUACAGGAAAGACAGAUGGACAUCUGUGUAUUAGAUGGAGGGGUUGAGGUGAGGAGAUGAGGACAGGUCACCUGAAGGGAGUAAUAAGGUUUUGGGAUCUUGUUACUCUUUUCCUGUUAAACCAUAAACUAAGGAUUGUAGAGAGGGAGUGUCUUAAGUAGGAGGUAUAUAACUGUGAUGUGAGAAAUGUUUUGCUGUCUGAUUACAGCUGUACAGAACCUUUGGGAAGAAUUAAACUUGGCUAAAGCUCC